GGAUAAUUAAUAAAUUAAACUAUUGAAAUAAAAAAAACUAAAGCGCAAUGCGCGCGAAUGUACAGGGAUCGAAAAAUUAAAAAAUGCAAAAGAAGUCGAACGGGACUCGAUUUGAAUAAUAGCGCGAAAGGGAGGGACGAAUUGCGGAAUUAUCCCUCAAAGACCAAAUCUCAUAACUCAAAACUAAAAAACCUAGACUAACACUCAGCCAUUUGAAAAAGAAUCAAAGAAAAAGAAAAACUAAAGCCUCGUUCCUUCCCCAUUCAGCCGAACAAAAAAACUCUUUCCUCAUCCACCAUUUAACCACCAUUUUCACCAUUAAAAUCGGUGAAUGAUGAGAAGAUCCUCUUUAUCUCCAUUAAAGCCAAGAUUCAAAGUAUAUUUUCACUUGAAAAUCCUCGUCUAAAACUCCGAUUUUGACGGAGGAGACAAGGAUCCCGACGGUACACCCACGAAGGUAAUCCUCUCUUCUUUCUCUUUUUUUUUUUAUGCCGAAAAAUGUAGGUGGGAACAAAGAAAAAAAAAUCGAAAUGCCUAAAAUAGAUCAAAAAUCACCUUCUAAUCUUUGAUUGUAUUUAGUAUGCGUAAAAUAUUUAUCUAAAAAAAAGCAGAUUUCCCCCUAUUUACAAUAUAUAAUUGGCUUUAUAUAGCCAAAAUCAAAUAUAAAAUUUAUAAAUUUCCCAUUUUCCCCCUUCAUUUGUUUGCUGUUAUUCUGUUAUAUUAUCUGUCAUUUGCUGUUGUGAUUUCCAUUUGUUGCAGGUAUGGAGCCAGCUGGCUGAAGGCACACGUGGGACUGGCCGGAGGCAGCAGCGGUGCUGGAAGCUGCUGGAAACCUGUUCGGCGCAAGGGAACCUUAGGGUUUCUGCCGAAAAUUUGGUUUAGUUUUGGGCCAUUGGGUGUUGGGCUAUUUGGGUUAAUUGGGUUAAUUUGAGUUUAGUGUUUGGGUCGAAUGCUGGGUUUAUUUUGGUUUGGGCUUUGUUGUAACAAAAGGGACUUGGAUUAUUAAUAUUUGGUUUUAUUUAUUUAUUUAUUUUGUUUUUUUGGUUUUUGUUAUGGGCCCGGGCGAAAUGGGCCUAUUACACAUGGGUUGCAAAUAAGAACCAAAAGUGGCGGCCAUGAUUUUGAGGGUGUUUUUUUUAAUGUUUCUAAAGUUUCAUUUGUUCUCAUUGACUAGGGGUGUUCAAAUUUCAGUUUAAACCGAAUUAACCAAUCGAACUGAUCUAAUUCAGUCAGAGGUCAGUUAAUAAUUUUUUGAAAGUUCUGUUAUCGAUUAAUUCAGUUCAAAAUCAAGUAAUUAACUGAAUUAACUGAACUUAAUAAUUGAUAUUAUAUAUUAAUGUUUUAGGCUUAGCCCACUGCCCACCCAAGCCCCAACCAUUGGCCUACCCCAGCACUCCUAAGUCCUACCCAGUAUAAACCUAAUCCGAUAUAAUUUAUAAACCUAAUCCAAUCCUAAAAACUAAAAAUAAUUCAAUAAAAAAACUUAAACAUCCUAAUUCCUAAAAAAAAAACACGACAACCACCACCCAUCAGUAACCCUAAAUUUAAAAUCCUUUAAAAUCCUUAACCCACUAACUUUAAAUCCCUAAUCAAUAAUCUCAUAUCCCUAAAUUAAAAAUCCUCUGAAAUCUCCCAAAAUCCCUACUGCUGACAACCACCAAUCACCACCGUAACCCAACGUAGUGACGUCCUAACCAUCACCUUCGAGUUCACCUUCACUCACCAUCAUUUGGUCAUUAUCACCUUCGAGUGACACCCUAACUGGACAACUCGAAACACUCACCACCGUCCGGCGUUCACCAUCACCAAGUCACCAAAUCCCCUUUACUUUUCUCUAUUGAUUAUGUUAUUUCCGUUGUAUUGUCUUCAUGUUUCAGUUUUGUAUUGUG
rnacentral:lncRNA from 1 species